AAGACGGGUCGGGCAAUCGCGGUGCGCAUGCAUCGAGGAAGGUCCGGACUCCACAGGGCGCGGUAGCGGCUAACGGCCGUCCGGGCGCGCGGCGGGCAACCGCCACGUGCUCGAGGAAUAGGGCCACAGAGACGAGUCUGCGAAGCGGGCGCGGUUUUCAACCGCGCACAGGCACGGCGACUUCCGUGUCGCGCGCUCCGGCAACGGGGCGCGGCGUCGCAGGGUGAAACGCGGCAACCUCUACCGGGAGCAACAUCAAAUAGGCAUGCGUCUCGGUCUUCGGACCGGAAAGGGCGGCUCGUCCGAGCAUGCGGGUAGAUGGCUAGACCCGGCCAGUAAUGGUCGGGCCAGAUGAAUGAUUGCCCGCCGGGAUCCCCGGCGUACAGAAUCCGGCCUACAGAUCCGUCUUGCUU
rnacentral:RNase_P_RNA from 1 species